rnacentral:tRNA from 1 species
GGUUGUUUCGCUCAGUUGGUAGAGCAUGGUGUUUGCAACGCCAGGGUUGUGGGUUCGAUUCCCACGGGGGACCA